GAACUAAACCGAAGUGGAAGCACAUAGGUAGGACUGUGUAAAUGUGAACAAGGUCCUGACACUUAACAGAAAGACAUUAAAAAGUCCAGUUCUUAUCCCCACUCUGCUCCUGGCCGCUGGGAUGCAGACAGCUGCAACCCUUCCCCUCUCAGCACCUUGGUUUCUCCCCUGACCUUGAGAGGGCGGGGUCGGACCCAUCAGGGACCGUCAUCCCUCUGGGGAGCUUUGUAAACGUCUCUGCUCUUGGCCCUGCCUCCAGAGUCUGAUUAGCUUGGCUGGAACUCUGUAAGUGCCUCCUCUCAAGUGACAUCCAGGUCUGACAUUCUGGUGCCUUCCCUGGCUCAGGGUCCUCAGAAUCUUGCCUGGAGGAUCAGAAAGCUCCAGUUUAAAGCUAGAGCAACAGAACCAGAGGUGCACAUAGGGAGAGCCCAGCAGAGACCUUUCGCCCUGUGGUCAGAGGUCUAGAUUCCAGUGCAGGAUGGAAAUCACCUCAUCAGCUACCCGGGAACAGGGUGUAAAGGGUUGGGAUUGCUCCCCAAGUUUGGGGGCUCAGGCAUCCUCUCCCCAUUCCUCAGCCCCCCUCUCCUCCUCAGCCCCCUCUCUCCUCAGCCUCAGGCGAUGAGGAGCCCUCUGGUGGGGACAGGAAGCAGGUUGCAGCUCCCUGGCCUAAGGAGAGCCUCCUGAGGGUGAGAUGGGAGUCUGGGGCCCCUCUGCCCCUUCUCCUUUCCCCACCUCUCUGCUUCCCUAGGCUCCCCGCCAAGGGGCUGGGACGGCACCCUAGCAGAUGGUGAAGCUGAGGCAGAGACAGGAGGGGCAGCCUGAAGUGCUGAAGGCAGCAGAAGGGGCCCUGAGGAAGAGGAGCCCAGAGCUGAGGGGUGACUGAGGCAGGUCACAUGGCCUGGAGGAGCCUGGUCACAUGACCAGGGCCAGCCUUCCCAUCAUCCCCUGUGGCCUCCUGCUCAGGCGCCACCCUGGGCAGAGGGAUUGCCAGGGACCACAGCUGGCUCUGAGGGGCCUGGGAGGGUACCACAGACCGCCCAGAACUUUUCUGCAGGUAUGCCCACCACUCCCCCAACCAUACCACUGCCUCUCCAGCCACACCCAGCUCUGGGGUUUUCUGGGCUGAUGCUGGCACACGACCAAGUCUGUUUGUGUUUGGCUUUGGCAUACCCUGCUUAUCUCUUUCCGUGCAUGUGUUUACUUAUUAGUAUGUAUGUACCUGUGUGGCCGAUCUUCCUCCCAGGCUAUGCUUGGUUCUGCCAGUAUGAAACAAACUAACACGGCUGACAGGAAACCAACCUAGGAGAAGGGCUUGCCGCAGAGGAGAAUGCUGGGAGCAGUGGGCAGGGGUGGUGAGGGGGGAGGGUCACCACAUCCAUUUCCAGGCGCACAGGAGGGGGCCCUCAAAGGUCCUGGACGGCUCGCCUCAGCCCUGAUGUGACCUGGAAGGAGAACCCACUGGGUCACUGGCCCUGGGAGCCUCCCCUAGGCCUGACCCCCCUCUUCCUGUCCCGCAGCCUCUGCCCAGCUUCCCUGUAUAGAUUUAUUUUGUCCCUUCUCAGAACAUAUGUUAUCUGUCCCUGAAGUCUGUCCCCGGGGGAGAGGUGGGGAAUUAAAGGGCCCCCUCGGCUGGAUUCCACUCACCAGAUGGGAAUGCAGUGAUAAGCACUGAAGAAUGAGAAUUUAUUCUUUCUUGCCCACCCACUAUUCCCUGCCACCCCCAUCCCUCUCCAGACAUUAGGCAUUUCCUCCAGAACCAAAGUUUUCGCCCUAAUGGAGCCACCAGAUCGCGCCUUGUGUGAAAUGGAUGCGACGGUUUCUUAAGGCAGAGGAGGCUGCGGUCUGGGGAGGAGGAGGCGAAGGCGGUGGAAGGGAGGAGUCGCCUUUCCAACAGAAGCCCCGCUUCCCUCAGCCUGUGGAAAUGGCCUGUGGGAAAAGCCCAAGCAUCUGAAUUGGAAGUAUCUGAAUUGGGUCGUUCUUCCCGUUGUAGGAAAUUCCCAAGAAGCAUCAGGCCGGUGCGGCCAAAGCCGAGGACCCGGUCAAAGCCGUGCCCGAGAAGAAGAAGUUCCGGCACCGGCCCGAGCCGCUCUUCAUCCCGCCGCCGCCCUCCUACCACCCCAACCCCGGCGCCUCGCACUCGGGCGCCACCCUGUACCAGAGCCAGCUGCGCUCCCCGCGCAUCCUGGGCGACCACCUGCUCCUGGACCCCGCCCUCGAGCUGCCCCCCUACACGCCCCCGCCCAUGCUGAGCCCGGUGCGCCAGGGCUCGGGGCUCUUCAGCAACGUGCUCAUCUCCGGCCACGGCCACGGCCCCGGCGCCCACCCGCAGCUGCCCCUCACGCCCCUGACGCCCACGCCGCGCGUGCUGCUCUGCCGCUCCAACAGCAUCGAUGGCAGCAACGUGACAGUCACCCCGGGGCCUGGAGAGCAGACUGUUGAUGUCGAACCGUAAGGAAAAGCCAAGUACCCUCUAGAACAGCAGGCUCAGCUGAGGAUGAAGAGCUGUGGGAAGGGUAGUUAGUACUUCGGGAGUCAGUGUGGCUGCUGGACAGGAAACUGGAGAAAGCGUAGGACCGUAGUAUUUCUCAAGUGCUGUUUGUUUCCCUGUAAUGGCGAGUGUUUCAAGACCUUUCUAAAGACUAAGUGCUUUGAAAGCAUGGAGCCUUGUAUUUGGCAAACCUAGCAUCCCUGUCUCCGGCUCCAAGGGCCAGUUUGGUUGGGGCUACAUGCGUUCACAUCCCAAGUGAUGCUGAGACAUCUCUGUUGGGGUGCCCAGCUCUCCACAUGCUGCAUCCAAAUGCCAUGCUCUCCUUGUCCUCUUCCGAAGAUUCUUGGCCAGUCCUCCAAGAGACCGGGCUUGAAUACUUGAGCUUGGUCGGGGGUGUGGGUAUAAUGGAAGAGAAAGGUGGUUAAUUUCAUGGGUAAGCACAGAAAAGGCCAGAUGGUAGAGUGCUGAAUAGAUGAGUCAGGAAUCAGAAAACCUGGUUCCAGCACAUUUCGUUACUUGCUGUUGAUCAAGGUAACCUUUCUAGGCUUUAGUUAACUCAUCUAUUAAAUAGGAAUCAUUUUCACUGCCUUGGUUAUUACAUCAUGGGUCUUUGUGGAGUUCAGAUGGGACCAUGUAUAUGGAGUGGUCUGGAAGGGAUAAAAAAUGAAAUAAGAACUUUGUAUUUGUCUCUGUGGGUUAAGUGGUACCAUCAGCCAUGCUCCGGGCAGCCUUGUUCCCUGGGAAUUAGCACCUUCCCCAGCCAGCUCUAAGGUUCCUUGAAGCCCCUUCUCCCUUGCUCCCUGCAGCAUCUCUCCCCAAUCUUAAAGCCGUUCCUUAUCCCGGUGAGAAGGCCAUGCCCAGACUUUUAGGAUCACACUGUGAGGAAAUGCCCCUGCCUCUUGUUCUUGGAGAAGGAACGGGUUUCCUUCUUUUUCAAGUCCCUGACAGUUGCCCUUGGCCUCAAGUUGAAGACCGCACUGUUGUUUUUCUUCUUGUCAUUAAAGGCGCAUCAACAUUGGCUUGAGAUUCCAAGCGGAAAUCCCAGAACUCCAGGAUGUCUCUGCCCUGGCCCAGGACACACACAAGGCCACCCUGGUAUGGAAGCCCUGGCCGGAGCUGGAAAACCAUGACCUCCAGCAAAGAGUGGAGACUCUCCUGAAUUUGUGCUGUUCAAGUGCAUUGCCAGGUGGCGGGACCAAUUCUGAAUUUGCUUUGCACUCUCUCUUCGAGGCCAAAGGUGAUGUCAUGGUAAGGAACCACGAAGAGCAGGCUUCCAGGCUCAUAUUCAUCAUGUCCGAAUUCUGAAAAGCACUUUCCCAAGAUGCUGCAUUGUUUUGUAUCAUACAGCCAGUUCAUAAGAUGAUGUCCAGCCAACGUGCCUGCCAUGGUCCUUAUCUCAAUGAGGAGGUCAGGAUUUAAGAGCCUGUAUGGGAGUUCCCAUCAUAGCUCAGUGGUUAACUAAUCUGACCAGGAUCCAUGAGGACGUGGGUUUGAUCCCUGGCC
rnacentral:lncRNA from 1 species